UUGCCGACAUGUUGGUGUGGAGAAACAUUAUACAACCUUUGGGAGAAAAUGAUGAUUUGUUUAAUAAGGACCUAAGACUUUCUUUAGGAGAUGGAAAGUUGAUAGAUUUUUGGAAUGGAUAUUGGACUAGCUUCCCUUCGUUGAAAGAGGCUUUCUCAAGGAUUUUCGGAUUAGCGAUUAAAAAAUUGGGGAAUGUAGCCGAGUUCGGAUCAAAGAUAGAAGGGAAGUGGGUGUAGAAAAUAGAGAUUCGAAGGGUCCUUUUCUCUUGGGAAACUAGCUUUUGGGAUGACUUCAUUAGUACUUUAAACGAAGCGACUCGAUGUAAUAUCGAGAAGGACGGAUUGCGGUGGUUGGGAUCCUCGGAUGGGGUCUAUAAUCCAAGGAGUUUUUCUUCCAAAGCAGUGUUUGUGGAGGACGAGUGAGAUAAUUUCUGGGAGAAGAUGUGGUCGAACCUAGCCCCUCCGAAAGUAGAGUUUUUAAUUUGGAGUGCUAUUCUAAAUAGAUUACCGGUCCUUACGGAAAUUGAAAAACAGGGUGUUUCUAAUUUGGUAUCUUGUGUGCGUGUUAUGCCAUAAAGACAGAGACCGUAACACAUAUUUUCUCCCAUUGUGAGAUGGUUUGGCGAGCUUGGCAAAGAUGGUUCUCAAUAUGGAAUCUCAACUUCAUUUGCCCAGGAACGAUGUUCGGUUUAAUAAUAGCUGCUGGAAUGAAGAGAAGUUGUUUGAGGUAGCGAUUUUGAGAUUUAGGUGCUGGUGUAAGUGGAAGUGGCCAGAGUUAUGCCCUUCCAUCUGCGACAUCAUCUUCUCUCCAUUUGGUCUCAUUUCGUUUCGGAGGUAAUUGUUUUCAGUUCUUGUGGCUCUAUUCUGAUAAGAAAAGAAGGUGUUCGGAAGAGGAAGAUGGCAAUGAUUUUAACUGUUUGUGCUCCAUAACAUUCCUUCUAGUGAAGCUUGUGGUUGAAAUAUUCUUCUCUGGCUUGAUGCGUGAGAGCGUUAUGUUGGUCAAAGAGUUUAUGCUUUGCUGUUGUGGGGUAGCAGGUUGCGACGAGGAUCUGUGUAUUGCCAACUGAGGUGGGAGAUGUUUGAUGGCCAUAAGCUUAUACUUCCUUUGGAUACAAGAGCAAGCAGAAUCGUUGUUCGACCCUCAAUUGAUCCAGUUUCUGCAGUUGCAGUCAGCCUGGUGUAGUCGGUGGUCUGGAUUUUGUAUUGCCGCAGAUAAAUUAUUUAGAAUUUCUAUUCGGAUGUGUUUGUUUGUGGUGUUUAGAGAGGCCCUUUCAACGUAAGUUCGUAGCAGAUUAUCUCUUGGAUUUUCCUAGCCGUGCUUUUUGUUUAGUUGUGGAAGUUGUUUGAAUAGUCAGGUUAAGUGAUGUUAUGAUUUUGGUCCAACUUUGUGUGAGAAAAACUAAUCUUGUUGGAAUUGUUGAUUUCUAGGUGGGUAACAUAGGAUAUGUAUUAGUGUGAUGACUGCUGGUUUUGGCUGUGUCUUGGGAUUUUAUUUUGUAAGGGUGGACUAUUGAGUAACAACAUAGAUAUGGUAAACUUUUUUUCCUCCGUUUGAUCUAGGGAGGUAUUUU